rnacentral:lncRNA from 1 species
AGGACAUGGUGGCCAAGCUCGGUGAGCUCCUUGGUGGAUGGGGACGACGCCUCCUCCCACAGUCUCCACGCUAAUCAGGGAGACGUCGUUGCUGGUAAGGUCGUCGUCGUCGUACCUCCUUCCACAGACUCGACGCUCGCCGUGGGGGACGUCGGAGGCGGCGAGGUCAUCUUACCUUCUCUGUAUCCUCGAAGCUUGUCGUCGGGGAUGCCCACCACUAGCGAGGUCGACGAACGCCGCCGCCGCCGAGGUCAUCGUACCUCCUCCGUAACCUCGAAGCUCGUUGUGGGGGAUGCCGCCGCCGGUGAGGUCGUCGUCGUAUCUUCUCCGUCAAUAGUGAGGUUGUACGGAGAGAGAAGGUAGGAAGUUGGGGGAGAGAGAGAGAGAAAUUGGGAAGUUGAAGGGAU